AACAGGAUUAGAUACCCUGGUAGUCCACGCCGUAAACGAUGUCUACUAGCUGUUCGUGUCCUUGUGAUGUGAGUAGCGCAGCUAACGCACUAAGUAGACCGCCUGGGGAGUACGGUCGCAAGAUUAAAACUCAAAUGAAUUGACGGGGGCCCGCACAAGCGGUGGAGCAUGUGGUUUAAUUCGACGCAACGCGAAGAACCUUACCUACUCUUGACAUCUACGGAAGACUGCAGAGAUGCGGUUGUGCCUUCGGGAACCGUAAGACAGGUGCUGCAUGGCUGUCGUCAGCUCGUGUUGUGAAAUGUUGGGUUAAGUCCCGCAACGAGCGCAACCCCUAUCCUUAGUUGCCAGCGAGUUAAGUCGGGAACUCUAGGGAGACUGCCGGUGAUAAACCGGAGGAAGGUGGGGACGACGUCAAGUCAUCAUGGCCCUUACGAGUAGGGCUACACACGUGCUACAAUGGUACGUACAGAGGGAGGCAAGCUGGCGACAGUGAGCGGAUCUCUUAAAGCGUAUCGUAGUCCGGAUCGCAGUCUGCAACUCGACUGCGUGAAGUCGGAAUCGCUAGUAAUCGCAAAUCAGAAUGUUGCGGUGAAUACGUUCCCGGGCCUUGUACACACCGCCCGUCACACCAUGGGAGUGGGUUGCAAAAGAAGUAGGUAGCUUAACCUUAAGGAGGGCGCUUACCACUUUGUGAUUCAUGACUGGGGUGAAGUCGUAACAAGGUAACC
rnacentral:rRNA from 1 species